AGUGAACGCUGGCGGUAGGCCUAACACAUGCAAGUCGAACGGCAGCACAGUAAGAGCUUGCUCUUACGGGUGGCGAGUGGCGGACGGGUGAGGAAUACAUCGGAAUCUACUUUUUCGUGGGGGAUAACGUAGGGAAACUUACGUUAAUACCGCAUACGACCUACGGGUGAAAGCAGGGGAUCUUCAGACCUUGCGCGAUUGAAUGAGCCGAUGUCGGAUUAGCUAGUUGGCGGGGUAAAGGCCCACCAAGGCGACGAUCCGUAGCUGGUCUGAGAGGAUGAUCAGCCACACUGGAACUGAGACACGGUCCAGACUCCUACGGGAGGCAGCAGUGGGGAAUAUUGGACAAUGGGCGCAAGCCUGAUCCAGCCAUACCGCGUGGGUGAAGAAGGCCUUCGGGUUGUAAAGCCCUUUUGUUGGGAAAGAAAAGCAGCAGGUUAAUACCCCGCUGUUCUGACGGUACCCAAAGAAUAAGCACCGGCUAACUUCGUG
rnacentral:rRNA from 1 species